rnacentral:rRNA from 1 species
CCUCCUUUGUUCCUCCUUUCUUCCUCUUUUUCCCUUUCCUGUCGUCUGCCCCCGCCACGCAGCGUGAAGGAUGACUGUCCUGUGGGUUGUAAACUUCUUUUAUAAAGGAAUAAAACGAGGCACUAGUCCCUGUUUGCAGGUACUUGAUGAAUAAGCAUCGGCUAACUCCGUGCCAGCAGCCGCGGUAAUACGGAGGAUGCGAGCGUUAUCCGGAUUUAUUGGGUUUAAAGGGAGCGUAGAUGGGUUGUUAAGUCAGUUGUGAAAGUUUGCGGCUCAACCGUAGAAUGGCAAUUGAUACUGGCAGUCUGGAGUACAGUUGAGGUAGGCGGAAUUCGUGGUGUAGCGGUGAAAUGCUUAGAUAUCGCGAAGAACCCCGAUUGCGAAGGCAGCUUACUAGACUGUGACUGACAUUGAUGCACGAAAGUGUGGGUAUCGAACAGGAUUAGAUACCCCUGUAGUC